UACGUAGGGUGCAAGCGUUGUCCGGAAUUACUGGGCGUAAAGGGCUCGUAGGCGGCCAACUAAGUCAUACGUGAAAUCCCUCGGCUUAACCGGGGAACUGCGUCUGAUACUGGAUGGCUUGAGUUCGGGAGAGGGAUGCGGAAUUCCAGGUGUAGCGGUGAAAUGCGUAGAUAUCAUCUGGAACGCCAAUGGUGAAAACAGCUCGCUGGGGGUUUGCAGACGCUGAGACACGAAAGCCAGGGGAGCGAACGGG
rnacentral:rRNA from 1 species